rnacentral:lncRNA from 1 species
GAGCUUCUAAUAUCUGUGGCACAGCCACAACUGUGUUGGACAGAGGAGACCCUUUGCCCUCAUAGAGAGCCUACAACGGAACCCCAUGGAGUUUAUCAAGCCACUGAUUUAGCCCAGCAGGGCACCCACCAGGAGCCCAGUCCCAUAGGUAAUAAGGUAAAUGAGAUAUGCAGCCAUGACUCUAUUAGGAAUGCAGCUCGGGCAGGAGGCCAUCCAUGCAGCAACGUUCCUGUGGAGAUGAAAGGGGACACCUCAGCGCACCACAGCCAUGGCACACUAAACAGACAAAAACAACUGAGUCCACAUCGCCACACCCUUCACAUAACACAGCUUGUGAAGAAAACACAUUGGAGUCACUCAAUGCUUUGAGAAAGACACAGAAAACAGAACCAAAUGGCUCUAUGAAAAAGCCACUACAAAAUAGUUUUGAGCCACUGGAGCACUGGGAUCUGGACCAGAUUCUUCUGACUCUUCAAACAGAUAGACUAUUUUUAGGAGGCAGUGUGUCUGACGAACCAAUGGAAGUACAACCAGUUUGGUCACAGAUGGAGACAAUGUAAGGUCACAGGAUACUAUAUUGGAGAGGCUGGCUGCUUUCUGUAGGACACAGUCAUGUGGAGAUGCUGAAGAGGAAAGAGAAACUGCGCCAGAUAAAACUUCUGGUGUGCCUCAGAAAGCACCUGUCCAACAUCCUACCAAUUUCAGACAAAAUGGUGGAUGGAGAAAGUCUUUCAAAAGGAUGGCAUUUGAGUUGCAGCCAAGCCGCCAGGAAGCGCCCACCGUUUAUAUUGAUUUACGUAACCCUGAGCCUCCCACGAAAACAACCAGACCAUGGAAGUAAUUGGAAAGAGCCUGUUACUCAGAAUGUUACGCGAGGCGAACAGAAACAGGAGAGAGCCGGACAGGAAAGAUCCAGUUCCAGCAGAUUCUACAUUCAGAACCCCCAGAAGAGUGGCCUUGAAGGACAAGCUGCCUGA